AACGAACGCUGGCGGCAUGCCUAACACAUGCAAGUCGAACGAAGGCUUCGGCCUUAGUGGCGCACGGGUGCGUAACGCGUGGGAAUCUGCCCUUUGCUUCGGAAUAACAGUUAGAAGUGACUGCUAAUACCGGAUGAUGUCGCAAGACCAAAGAUUUAUCGGCAAAGGAUGAGCCCGCGUAGGAUUAGCUAGUUGGUGGGGUAAAGGCCUACCAAGGCGACGAUCCUUAGCUGGUCUGAGAGGAUGAUCAGCCACACUGGGACUGAGACACGGCCCAGACUCCUACGGGAGGCAGCAGUGGGGAAUAUUGGACAAUGGGCGAAAGCCUGAUCCAGCAAUGCCGCGUGAGUGAUGAAGGCCUUAGGGUUGUAAAGCUCUUUUACCCGGGAUGAUAAUGACAGUACCGGGAGAAUAAGCUCCGGCUAACUCCGUG
rnacentral:rRNA from 1 species